UGAGUACGAGCUGCUACGGCAGCGAAGUGGGUGAUGUCAAGCUUCCAAGAAAAGCCCUAUACCCGUUAAGGCGUGACGGCCUGUACCCGAAACCGACACAGGUGGGGUGGUAGAGAAUACCGAGGGGCGCGAGAUAACUCUCUCUAAGGAACUCGGCAAAAUGGCCCCGUAACUUCGGGAGAAGGGGUGCCACCGCAAGGUGGUCGCAGUGAAGAGGCCCAGGCGACUGUUUACCAAAAACACAGGUCUCCGCUAAGUCGCAAGACGAUGUAUGGGGGCUGACGCCUGCCCAGUGCCGGAAGGUUAAGGAAGCUGGUCAGCGCAAGCGAAGCUAGCGACUGAAGCCCCGGUGAACGGCGGCCGUAACUAUAACGGUCCUAAGGUAGCGAAAUUCCUUGUCGGGUAAGUUCCGACCCGCACGAAAGGCGUAACGAUCUGGGCGCUGUCUCGGAGAGAGGCUCGGCGAAAUAGAAUUGUCUGUGAAGAUGCGGACUACGUGCACCCGGACAGAAAGACCCUAUGAAGCUUUACUGUAGCUUGGUAUUGUGCCCGGGCUCUGAAUGCGCAGGAUAGGUGGGAGGCUUUGAUCCAUUGCUUGUGGGUAGUGGUGAGCCAACGGUGAGAUACCACUCUUUCAGAGCUAGGGUUCUAACCCUCACCCGUUAUCCGGGGAGGGGACAGUAUCAGGUGGGCAGUUUGACUGGGGCGGUCGCCUCCUAAAAGGUAACGGAGGCGCGCAAAGGUUUGCUCAGGCUGGUUGGAAAUCAGCCGACGAGUGUAAAAGCAGAAGCAAGCUUGACUGUGAGACCAACAAGUCGAACAGGGACGAAAGUCGGCUUUAGUGAUCCGACGGUUCUGAGUGGAAGGGCCGUCGCUCAACGGAUAAAAGUUACUCUAGGAUAACAGGCUGAUCUCCCCCAAGAGUUCACAUCGACGGGGAGGUUUGGCACCUCGAUGUCGGCUCAUCGCAACUCGGGGCUGAAGUCGGUCCCAAGGGUUGGGCUGUUCGCCCAUUAAAGCGGUACGCGAGCUGGGUUCAGAACGUCGUGAGACAGUUCGGUCCAUAUCCGGUGCAUGCGUAAGAACAUUGACAGGAGUUCCCCCUAGUACGAGAGGACCGGGAGGAACGCACCUCUGGUGUACCAGUUAUCGUGCCAACGGUAAACGCUGGGUAGCCAUGUGCGGAGAGGAUAACCGCUGAAAGCAUCUAAGUGGGAAGCCCACCUGAAGAUGAGUGUUCUCAUGGCUUAAGCCAGUAAGGUCACGGGAAGAACACCCGUUGAUAGGCUCUACGUGGAAGCGCAGCAAUGCGUGAAGCGGAGGAGUACUAAUAGACCGAGGGCUUGAU
rnacentral:rRNA from 1 species